GGGACGCGUCAGGGGUGGGCCCGGCAGAACUCCAGGGCGGCCUGCGCCAGGACAUAGGGGACCGUCUUCCCCAGAGCUGGGAAAAGAGAGCCAGGGCAAGGAGCCAGGAGGAACUGGAGGCAAGGUGACUCCCCCUGUUUCGUGCUCCGCUCCAUGUUAGGGACAGAGACCUGGGCGGCAGUGCAGCCUCUGGGGAGAUGCGUGUCCCGCAGGCUCGGUUCCACCCCCAGUGACAUGCCCAGUGCCGGCCCCUGAACACGACACUCACUCGUGCUGGGCAGACGGAAUGCAGGAUGGUGCCUGCCACUCAGAGAUAGACGGAGGCCGUAAGGAUCACGCCCAUUGAUCAAGUGCUUACUGUGUUCCCGACGUGGUUCUAAGUGCCCACCGUAUGUUGACUCAAUGAGUUCUCACAAGAGCCCUACAAGGACAAUCAUAAGCCUGGGGCUGGAUGGUGAGUGCCAGUCUAACAAUGUGAAUAUGAGAAGCUAACUGCAACCCUGUGAAUAAUCAACCUGAGGCUGUCAGUCCUGAACAAGGAAACAGAGUGAGAAAAGCACAUUGCAUCCCAUGGACAUCAUACGGCUUUGUUGAAGAAGGUAUCUCAAGUUUGGUUUCCAGACUUGACCCGGCUCAGGGGUCACUCACCAGUUCGUGGCCUGUUAGGAACCAGGCUGCACAGCAAGAGGUGGACUCUUCACCAUCUGAGCCACCAGGGAAGCCCAAGAAUACUGGAGAGGGUAGCCUAUCCCUUCUCCAGGGGAUCUUUCUGGCCCAGGAAUCAAACCAGGGUCUUCUGCAUUGCAGGUGGAUUCUUUACCAACUGAGCUACCAGCGAAGCCCUGGAAAGCUCAACUAAGUUGUCAAAUACCAUCAAGGAUCCAGGUCCCACCACCCUGCUGUAUUGCCAUCCUCAGAGGACUGGGUGUCCUCAGCACAUCCCUUCCCUGUUCCAAGGAGGCUGUGGCUUCAAGCUUCUCAUCUCCAGAGGAUACGGUUCAACAGAGCCAGGAAAGAGGCAGGAGUGAAACAAAGAAUACAAAUAAAUUUAAAAUUUUAAAGGCUUUUUUGCCGUGUUGACUAUCUUAUUUACCCAAACAUAUUUGGACAGCAAGGAGAUUCAACCAGUCCAUCCUAAAGGAAAUCAGUCCUGAAUAUUCAUUGGAAGGACUGAUGUUGAAGCUGAAACUCCAAUCCUUUGGCCACCUGAUGCAAAGAACUGACUGAUUUGAAGAAACCCUGAUGCUAGGAAAGAUUGAAGGUGGGAGGAGAAGGGGACAACAGAGGAUGAGGUGGUUCAAUGGCAUCACUGACUCAAUGGACAUGAGUUUGGGUGAACUCCAGGAGUUGGUGAUGGACAGGGAGGGCCUGGCGGGCUGUAGUCCAUGGGGUCGCAAAGAGUCGGACACGACUGAGCGACUGGACUGAACUGACUGAUUUCCAGGUAACCUCAGCAGAUUCAUCCUUACGUCUCAUUGGCC
ensembl:lncRNA